AUUGAACGCUGGCGGCAUGCCUUACACAUGCAAGUCGAACGGCAGCACGGGGGCAACCCUGGUGGCGAGUGGCGAACGGGUGAGUAAUACAUCGGAACGUGUCCUCUUGUGGGAGAUAACCAGUCGAAAGAUUGGCUAAUACCGCAUGAGAUCGCAAGAUGAAAGCGGGGACCGCAAGGCCUCGCGCGAGAGGAGCGGCCGAUGUCGGAUUAGCAGUUUGGUGGGUAAAGACCUACCAAGGCGACGAUCCGUAGCUGGUCUGAGAGGACGACCAGCCACACUGGGACUGAGACACGGCCCAGACUCCUACGGGAGGCAGCAGUGGGGAAUUUUGGACAAUGGGCGCAAGCCUGAUCCAGCC
rnacentral:rRNA from 1 species